CAAGCCGGAGGGAAUUCACGGGGAAAAGGCGCGCUUUAAAGGCAAAGAGUCCGGAUCAUCAAGCGGACAAGCCGGAGGGAAUUCACGGGGAAAAGGCGCGCUUUAAAGCUUUCAGGUACCCAAGUGAAGGAUGAAGAUCAAGCAUGACAAUUCGAACCGAACACUCUAGCAAACGCUUCCGCAUAUAAUCUUUUGUCUUAAAAACCAUGUAAACAAUUGUAGUUAAUGUCUUGGUUAUGAUUUUGUAAGAAUUGUACAUGUUUGUGGUGUCUAGUUUGGAUUAAAAUGAUGAAAGUUUUUGUUAAGUCAAU